rnacentral:rRNA from 1 species
GAACGGAGCUGCGCGAAGCACAGAGUGCUUCGGUAGUGGUAAGUGAUGAGUGAUAAGUUGGCUGGGAAGCGAGCUGUUGCUGAUUGCGAAUUGCUAUAAGAGGAGAAGCAUUGUGUGCUUUGUGCAGUUUAGUGGCGGACGGGUGAGUAACGCGUGAGCAAUCUGCCUUUCAGAGGGGGAUAACGGAGGGAAACUUCCGCUAAUACCGCAUAAAAUUAUAAAACCGCAUGGUUUAAUAAUCAAAGAUUUAUCGCUGAAAGAUGAGCUCGCGUCCGAUUAGAUAGUUGGUAGGGUAACGGCCUACCAAGUCUGCGAUCGGUAGCCGGACUGAGAGGUUGAACGGCCACAUUGGGACUGAGAUACGGCCCAGACUCCUACGGGAGGCAGCAGUAGGGAAUAUUGCGCAAUGGGGGAAACCCUGACGCAGCAACGCCGCGUGAAGGAAGAAGGCUUUCGGGUUGUAAACUUCUUUUAUGAGGGAAGAAAAAGGACGGUACCUUAUGAAUAAGCCACGGCUAACUACGUGCCAGCAGCCGCGGUAAUACGUAGGUGGCAAGCGUUGUCCGGAUUUACUGGGUGUAAAGGGCGCGUAGGCGGGUUGGUAAGUCAGAUGUGAAAUCUCCGGGCUUAACUCGGAGCGUGCAUUUGAAACUGCCAGUCUUGAGUGUCGGAGAGGCAGACGGAAUUCCACGUGUAGCGGUGAAAUGCGUAGAUAUGUGGAGGAACACCGGUGGCGAAGGCGGUCUGCUGGACGAUAACUGACGCUGAGGCGCGAAAGCGUGGGGAGCAAACAGGAUUAGAUACCCUGGUAGUCCACGCUGUAAACGAUGAAUACUAGGUGUGGGGAGGACUGACCCUUUCCGUGCCGGAGUUAACACAAUAAGUAUUCCACCUGGGGAGUACGGCCGCAAGGUUGAAACUCAAAGGAAUUGACGGGGCCCCGCACAAGCAGUGGAUUAUGUGGUUUAAUUCGACGCAACGCGAAAAACCUUACCGGGGUUUGACAUCCUGCUAACGAAGUAGAGAUACAUUAGGUGCCCUUCGGGGAAAGCAGAGACAGGUGGUGCAUGGUUGUCGUCAGCUCGUGUCGUGAGAUGUUGGGUUAAGUCCCGCAACGAGCGCAACCCUUAUUGUCAGUUGCUACGCAAGAGCACUCUGGCGAGACUGCCGUUGACAAAACGGAGGAAGGCGGGGACGACGUCAAAUCAUCAUGCCCCUUACAUCCCGGGCUACACACGUAAUACAAUGGCGCAGAACAGAGGGAGGCAAAGCCGCAAGGCGGAGCGAAACCCUAAAAGGCGUCCCAGUUCGGAUCGUGGGCUGCAACCCGCCCGCGUGAAGUCGGAAUUGCUAGUAAUCGCGAAUCAGCAUGUCGCGGUGAAUACGUUCCCGGGG